rnacentral:rRNA from 1 species
UACCAGCACCCCGAGUGGUCGGGACGAUUAUUGGGCCUAAAGCAUCCGUAGCCGGCCUUACAAGUCCUCCGUUAAAUCCAGCUGCUUAACAGAUGGGCUGCGGAGGAUACUAUAAGACUAGGAGGCAGGAGAGGCAAGCGGUACUCAGUGGGUAGGGGUAAAAUCCGUUGAUCCAUUGAAGACCACCAGUGGCGAAGGCGGCUUGCCAGAAUGCGCUCGACGGUGAGGGAUGAAAGCUGGGGGAGCAACCGGG